AGACACAACCCUGGAGAGAGCCAGAAAUGGACAUCGAAGAAGAAACUUAGGAAGGUUAAGUAAACACUUAAGUGCCUAGGGAAACUUUCAGAUAAAAGGACAGGAUGUAAAUA
rnacentral:ncRNA from 2 species